rnacentral:misc_RNA from 1 species
UUCGUCUUUGUUGCGGAAUUCAGUUAUUUUCUUAUUUUUUGGGUUCGUUCUAUACAGUGAGAGAGCUUAUAUUGCUCCAGCUGACUCAUAUUUCCGAGAUCUAUUUUUACACCACGACUAGAAAGGUCAUCCUUUUAGCGUUGUAUGUCAAGGAGCUCUACAAUAACCCUUCAUUGUUGUUGAGCGAUUUUCUUUGUUGCCAUUGAGGAAGCUGGGAGGAAUCCUUACUGCGUUUAGGUGCUAUUUGUUGGGUUCUUCCCUUCUCUUAGUGUUUCUAG